UUUAUAAGAAAUUUUAUUUGC
ensembl:piRNA 21ur-9570 ncRNA